UUUUUUUUUGUGGUCGGGACAUACUAGCCGAAAGAGUAUAAAUAUGCAUUCAUACUAUUCAUUUAAGUCGGUUAAAGUGUGCCUGAACCGACGAGAGGUGAAGCCUGAAAUAAAAGAGGGCAAAAGAGAUAAUAUGUAAAUCAACCUUUAUUUGAACACUUGUUAAUAUCACAUUACAAAAGGCCAACCUAACUUCUUUCUCAGUUUGUGGCACAUACUUGCAAUAGACCGAAGAGGUCCACCGACCCAUGUUUUUUAAGAUGUGUGCGGGAGUAUUGUGGCUAGAUGCUGCUGAAGUGGCUCCUAUGCGAAAGGAGUGGCCUGCAAAUGAGGUAGGGUUGAGGCCAAGUGUAACCAAUAAUGUUCUAGUGUAUAACAUGAAUUUUUGAGUUGUAAGCAGAUUGUCAUGAAUUGCCAGUAAAGUGAAAUUAGAUUUAAGACUAUGUAGAGAAUGUUUUAAUAAAUCAAACACUUUGACAGAGCACCAUUUAUUACCUGUAGGAUAGAAAGGUAUCUGGACUGGGUGUCCUAUUUGACUAGUUUUAGCAUGUUGUAAGGAUAAUAUAUGUGAUUGUGAUUCUUAACUAGUUCUGAAAACGUCAGGCAUAGUUUAAGGUCAGAAAUUUUGUUUACAGUAAACUCUUUAGGUGUUAAGAAACCAUAAAAAGCCAGAUAAAUAGCAGCUUUGAGUAUUAAGUUGGUAUUUGGUUCACAAGGAGCUGAAUCCAAUAAGUCCGUAAGGCCCCGGAACUUACUACUAUCAAUAGGUAGUUUUUGUGGAGGAGUUUCUAUUUUUAAUUUUAACAUGCCUUUCAAGACACUUUUUAUAGGGUAUGACGCUAGAAAAGGAUUAUUAUUAGGGAAGGUGAUUAACAUGUGAUGUUGUGAGGAAGCUGUAUUGUGACUGAGGCUUCCUCACAAACACAUUUUGCAAACCAUUCUUCUAUUCUGGCACUCGUUGAAUAAGUCACAGUUUUGCCCUGGUAACCAAGUUGCAGAACUCUGAUUCAUUCACUGAACGCUGGGACUGUUCUCCAGAGAUUCUAAACGGUUAAUAAUCGUAUUAACGGAUGCCGUAAGAGAGGACAUCAUACAUUAUUGUCGUUUUGGGCUUUCAUUAAACGGAAUAACUCCUCUUUCCUAGCAGUAGCAGGAGAAGAAAUUUUUUUCGCUUUAAUUCAGCUGUGAUUUUAGGAAUAGUCCAAGAUUUGUAACUUGAAGCUGGACUAGGAGGGUCGUUAAGUCUGCCAGGGAAAUUUGUCCUGGCAGGAGUGCUUGGAAGGGAUAAGUCGUGACCCUGGAUUGGAACGUUAGACAUGCUAUGAGGAAAGAAAAUGGAAAUUAGUAACUAACUACCAACUGGCAGCCUAGUAAGAAUGCCAAGUGGCAAAAUUAUAUUAUGGUAAAUGGGGCGAAUGAGGCCCUGAUAGUUUGCCCAGCGGCUUGAAAAGCUCUAUCUAUGAUUUGGCCUGAAUGGGUAAAGGGAACCAUAAACUUAUAUGGCAGGGUGUUGGCCUCUCGAUGGUAUCUAUAAGAUUCAAGAUAGAAUGGACUGUUCGGGCAUGAGACCUAACUAUGCAACAUGCAAGACAAAUAACUGCGAUACGGGCCUAUAACUGAAUCGGACUCCGAUACGAAGGAAAUUCUAAGGAACACUAAAGAAAAUAAGGAGGAAGAAACCUGAAAAUACUAUUUGGACUAGUAUUAACCUAAUGAGCUAGUUCCUACUAAAUGUGUUCAACAACAGAUUAACCAAAUAUAUAUAUCUGAAACAAAGGAAUAACAACUUCCUAGGCUUCUGGAAAAAGAUGGAGCUUGUUCCUAAAAUAUGAAAACAUAAAUUGCCCUUUGAGACAACCAAAAUAGGUGUCUACCAUUUAAAGUAACAAAUCCCAUAUACUAGCCUUAGUGAUCUAGGAAUUCAUGCAAAUAACACCUGAAAAAGAGAGGGCCUAAUGGCAACGUUUUGGCCUAUAUCUGUGAUUCUGCAAAAAAAAUAAAAAAAGUAAAACACAGUCAUAAUGAUAAACCCCUCAGCAGAAGUCGUCAUAAGGGUCAGAGUAUGAAAGCUAAACGAAACGUAUCAGAAUAUGCUAGCAGAACCAACUGUCAGUUUGUAAAGGUAGCUUUGAAAGAGACACACCAGAGGCCUGGUGGACAACCUGAGCUAAAUGAAACGUAUGUGUAUGAGAAUGGAUACGAAAUAUAGAGCAAGAGAUUUGAGCUGCAAGUAUAGAAAGCGUUUGACUGGUCAACAUUGAGUCUGAGAGGUAGAAUAAAGCAAACAAAACAAUCAACCUUUUUUUUUUUUUUUUUACUGGAAUACUCAAUUAGCCGUAAUACCAACACAGAGCACUGGACUCUAAAGGUUAACUUUUAAAAUGUAACAUUUAUUUUUGAAGGAUGUAAUUUGUACAGUUUUCUAUAACAAUGUAUUGUGAGGCUGAUACAUUAAGUAAUUCGCUAGUACCAGCAACUUAAUAACGUGAUGUAAAGGGGAGAUCGAGCCUCUCUACAGUAGCCGCCCAAAUGCUUAUGAAACUAAAUUAUUGUUAAACACAAAAAUUGAUAUUUAGCCUAACCAAGCUUAUUGUACUCACGAUCUUCCGAACGCUGUCUCUCCAAAACCGUGGGAGAAUUCAAGCACUGUGGAGUGUGCCGCAACACUAGUUCCCCCAGCUGCUGAAGGGAGGUAAGCUCCAAAGGCAGUGUAGCCGUGCUGAGCGGGACUGCGACCCGAGCACCCACAUGUUCCGGUGCUCACCGUUGCGUUCUGGGUGGUCUUUCAGCCGUGAAGUCGGAUGUCAGGUUAGUAUACCGGCCGUGGCAGCGAGGGAAUCCAACUUCAAAGUUCCGUCCGAGAGCUGGGCUAAACAAACUGCGGCACGAGCUGAUCCAGUGGAUUGCACAGCACGUAGCAACAGACUGACACACCUCCCACCUCACGCUACAGGUAAGGGGAGGUAUUGGUAGGGUUUUUUUUAUAGGGACUAAAUCCCUCCCACAAUUUCAGGUUUCUA
rnacentral:lncRNA from 1 species